UACGUAGGGUGCGAGCGUUAAUCGGAAUUACUGGGCGUAAAGCGUGCGCAGGCGGUUUGCUAAAACCGAUGUGAAAUCCCCGGGCUUAACCUGGGAACUGCAUUGGUGACUGGCAGGCUAGAGUGUGGCAGAGGGGGGUAGAAUUCCACGUGUAGCAGUGAAAUGCGUAGAGAUGUGGAGGAAUACCGAUGGCGAAGGCAAUCCCCUGGGCCUGCACUGACGCUCAUGCACGAAAGCGUGGGGAGCAAACAGG
rnacentral:rRNA from 1 species